rnacentral:rRNA from 1 species
AGCGAACGCUGGCGGCAGGCUUAACACAUGCAAGUCGAGCGGGCACUUCGGUGUCAGCGGCAGACGGGUGAGUAACACGUGGGAACGUACCCUUCGGUUCGGAAUAACGCUGGGAAACUAGCGCUAAUACCGGAUACGCCCUUUUGGGGAAAGGUUUACUGCCGAAGGAUCGGCCCGCGUCUGAUUAGCUAGUUGGUGGGGUAAUGGCCUACCAAGGCGACGAUCAGUAGCUGGUCUGAGAGGAUGAUCAGCCACACUGGGACUGAGACACGGCCCAGACGCCUACGGGAGGCAGCAGUGGGGAAUAUUGGAAAAUGGGCGCAAGCCUGAUCCAGCCAUGCCGCGUGAGUGAUGAAGGCCUUAGGGUUGUAAAGCUCUUUUGUCCGGGACGAUAAUGACGGUACCGGAAGAAUAAGCCCCGGCUAACUUCGUG